GAACCUACCUAUCGUUGCUUCGGCGGACUCGCCCCAGCCCGGACGCGGACUGGACCAGCGGCCCGCCGGGGACCUCAAACUCUUGUAUUCCAGCAUCUUCUGAAUACGCCGCAAGGCAAAACAAAUGAAUCAAAACUUUCAACAACGGAUCUCUUGGCUCUGGCAUCGAUGAAGAACGCAGCGAAACGCGAUAAGUAAUGUGAAUUGCAGAAUCCAGUGAAUCAUCGAAUCUUUGAACGCACAUUGCGCCCGCCAGCAUUCUGGCGGGCAUGCCUGUUCGAGCGUCAUUUCAACCCUCGACCUCCCCUUGGGGAGGUCGGCGUUGGGGACCGGCAGCACACCGCCGGCCCUGAAAUGGAGUGGCGGCCCGUCCGCGGCGACCUCUGCGCAGUAAUACAGCUCGCACCGGGACCCCGACGCGGCCACGCCGUAAAACACCCAACUUCUGAACGUUGACCUCGAAUCAGGUAGGACUACCCGCUGAACUUAAGCAUAUCAA
rnacentral:rRNA from 1 species